rfam:Loxodonta africana unplaced genomic scaffold scaffold_26, whole genome shotgun sequence.
ACAGUGGUGGCUUAGUGGUAGAAUUCUCACCUUCCAUGUGGAAGACCUGGUUCGAUUCCCAGCCAGUGUA